AGAGUUUGAUCCUGGCUCAAAUUGAACGCUGGCGGCAUGCCUUACACAUGCAAGUCGAACGGCAGCACGGGUGCUUGCACCUGGUGGCGAGUGGCGAACGGGUGAGUAAUACAUCGGAACGUGUCCUGUAGUGGGGGAUAGCCCGGCGAAAGCCGGAUUAAUACCGCAUACGCUCUGAGGAGGAAAGGGGGGGAUCGUCG
rnacentral:rRNA from 1 species